UACGAAGGGGGGCUAGCGUUGCUCGGAAUUACUGGGCGUAAAGCGCACGUAGGCGGGUUCUUAAGUCGGUGGUGAAAUCCUGGAGCUCAACUCCAGAACUGCCUUCGAAACUGGGAAUCUUGAGGCCGGUAGAGGAGGGUGGAAUUCCCGGUGUAGUGGUGAAAUGCGUAGAGAUCGGGAGGAACACCAGUGGCGAAGGCGGCCCUCUGGGCCGGGCCUGACGCUGAGACGCGAGGGCGUGGGGAGCGAACGGG
rnacentral:rRNA from 1 species